GGGUCAGUAGGUUGGUCGUGCCACCGGUACGUACUGGUCUCACUGAUUCCUCCUUCCUGAAGAACCGUGAUGCCAUUAAUUUGGUGUUGCGGGGAAACAGGACUGUUACUUUGAAAAAAUUAGAGUGUUUAAAGCAAGCUAACGCUUGAAUACAUUAGCAUGGAAUAAUGGAAUAGGACGAUCGAUCCUAUUUUGUUGGUUUCUAGGAUUGACGUA
rnacentral:rRNA from 1 species